CCUGACCUCGGAUCAGUCGUGGCUACCCGCUGAACUUAAGCAUA
rnacentral:rRNA from 1 species